rnacentral:rRNA from 1 species
UACAGAGGUCUCAAGCGUUGUUCGGAUUCAUUGGGCGUAAAGGGUGUGUAGGUGGCGCGCUAAGUCGGGUGUGAAAUUUCGGAGCUUAACUCCGAAACUGCAUUCGAUACUGGCGUGCUUGAGGACUGGAGAGGAGAGUGGAAUUCCCGGUGUAGCGGUGAAAUGCGCAGAUAGUCGGGAAGAACACCCGUGGCGAAGGCGGCUCUCUGGAACGCAACUGACGCGAUGAGACGCGAAAGCGUGGGGAGC